AAAUCUCGUGCGCAUAUCCAAAUAGAGUGAUUCAAAGUUCCGCAGAUAGAUACGGAAAAGAUCUACAACUUGGCGUUGGUCUCAUCCUCAAAUUCAUUACGGAUUGUCCGUGGUGAAAGCCCUCUUCAAUACCUUCAUUUUGGCGGUGGUUUCACUUCGAUUGACCUCCAGAAACUGAAAUGGUUCACAGGUCAAGAUCUGGUCAGAUCUGACUUUGUCGAAUUAAACCAGGAGCUUGGGAACGAAUCUUUGAGUGAAACAAAUUGGGGGAUGUUUGGGUUAUACCAUGGUGAUAACCGAGAGAGGCAAUUGCUAAGUUGUGAUACUCUCAUACCUUUACUAGACGCGAGCAAUUCCGGAGAAGAAGAAGAAGUGGAAUUGGACAAGGAUUUUAUUUAUAUUGUUGGGAUUCUUAUAUUGAUAGAGUUGAAGAAGUACAGGGACAAAUAAGCCAAGGCAAGCCAUCUUUUGAUCUCUGAUCCGGUGUCUAGUUGGAUGUCAUUUGUUGAUGUUCAAAGCACCUUCAUUCUAUGUGUGUUAUUAUCUCUAUUUAUGUCAUCUAUGUGUGUUUGCAAGUGGGGUACUCCCUAGUGGUGAUGCUCCACUAUUUGUCCUUGUGUUAUGGGAUGCAUGGUAGCAUGGCCGUGCUAUCCCACUUGGUUA